GGCAGGGGUAGAGAGAGAAAGAAAGAGAGAAAGGUCUUUCUCUUUCCUCCCUUCCCUCUCUCCCUCCUCCUGCC